GACGAACGCCGGCGGCGUGCUUAACACAUGCAAGUCGAACGGAAAGGCCCUGCUUUUGUGGGGUGCUCGAGUGGCGAACGGGUGAGUAACACGUGAGUAACCUGCCCUUGACUUUGGGAUAACUUCAGGAAACUGGGGCUAAUACCGGAUAGGAGCUCCUGCUGCAUGGUGGGGGUUGGAAAGUUUCGGCGGUUGGGGAUGGACUCGCGGCUUAUCAGCUUGUUGGUGGGGUAGUGGCUUACCAAGGCUUUGACGGGUAGCCGGCCUGAGAGGGUGACCGGCCACAUUGGGAAUGAGAUACGGCCCAGACUCCUACGGGAGGCAGCAGUGGGGAAUAUUGCACAAUGGGCGGAAGCCUGAUGCAGCAACGCCGCGUGCGGGAUGAAGGCCUUCGGGUUGUAAACCGCUUUCGCCUGUGACGAAGCGUGAGUGACGGUAAUGGGUAAAGAAGCACCGGCUAACUAAGUG
rnacentral:rRNA from 1 species